ACCCUAAACUUUCUUCCCAUGAAGACGCCAUAAGAUUCAAGAUGCCACAAUCUUCCCAUGAAGAUCGCCCUUUCUAAUAUCUGGUCUGUUUAUUGAUGAAACAACAUUGAAGACACCACAAGAUCGCCGAUUGUGCGACAAAUUCUGACUCCAUUCGAGUUGCUAUAUUUGAAAACCAUAUCCAAUCCAAAAUUGAAGACGACGGCUGAACUUGGUCUCAGAUCGGGAAAAAAUGACUAAAUAUUGUUCCAAAAUAAAUUACAAGGUUUACAAAUUGCCCCAUCAGAAGCACCUGUAACAGCAUACAUGUUUGGAAAAGUUGUUUAUUUUGCUUUCAUGUUCUCAAAAGUGCAAACUAUUGUUGUGCAUCUCAACAAUCUUCCUCUGGUGUGCUACUUUUGUGUGAGGUCGCUCUUGGUGAAAUGGCUGAGCUACUAGAAGCUAACUAUGAUGUUGACAAAUUACCACAAUGAAAAUUAAGCAUGAAAGGUGUUGGGGCUACCACUCCGAAUAUGUCUAAGAGUGACCCUCUUGAAGACGGAAUUGUGGUUCCACUAGGACGGCCCACAUUAGCAAAUGAGUUCAAAGGUGAGAAUCGCUAAGUUUUAACUAACUGGUCUCUUAUUGUUUGGUUAUCUAAUAAAAGAUCUAUUAGAUACUAUUACAUUAAAUAAGCCUCUUAAAUUAUUACAUGACUUGGGGUUAAAAAUUCGCAUGUAUUAAUGAAAUGUGUAAUUGGGGAAUGGGCAUGAAAAGAGAUGUGAUUAGUUUCAGAGACAAAAAAAUUCCCUUCAAGUUUCAGAGAAGGCAAUUUCCACUAUGUGUAUGCUUUGCAAUGACUAUAAACAAAAGCCAAGGAUAAUCACUAUCUCGAGUUGGUUUGUACUAAAAGCAACCUGUAUUCACCCAUGGACAUUGUAUGUUGCACUUUCGAGAGUAAAGAGUAGAGCCGGAGCAAAACUACUAAUUUUAGACAAAGAAGGGAAUGUUACAAAUCAAACAACAAAUGUUGUUUACAAGGAAAUUUUCAGAGACUUGUGAUUAGUUUUUAUUUCUUUUAUUUGUAAUUUAUAUUUUUUGGUUUUUGAUUGUUGAAUGAAAAUGUUGUUUCAUUCUUUGUUA